rfam:Cryomorphaceae bacterium BACL18 MAG-120924-bin36 contig10961, whole genome shotgun sequence.
CGUGGAAGGAUUUGUCCGAUUGCAACCACGGUAAAAAAUGCUAAACCGGUGGAC